UGUUGUACAAGGAGCAUACGAGAAGACUUUGAGGAGUUGUUAUUAUUCAGCCAUGGAUUUAGAUGAUGCUGGUGGAGAAACAUCAUGGUUUCAGGAAAUUUUGGAAACAUAUCCCAUUGAAGACUCUGAAGAUGAAGAAGAAACCCACCAAAAAAAAUUAAAAGAUGAAGAAGAGAGGAAUAACGCAACAACAGAGGAAUAGCCAGACAGUUCGUCUUUCAGGACAACAAUGUUGACGCAAGAGCAGAACUUCUUCUUCUUCUUAGAGGAGGAGGAAGAAGAUGGGGUAGCUGCUUUAGGGGUAUGCAAUUGCUUCAUUACAGUGAAGCUGUUUGGGAUUGCUUCUGCGACUUUUUCAGUAGAGGAUCUCUGUGAUGUGGUCCUGUUCUGUUCUCUUCUCUUCUAUUGUUCCUUCUCUUAUAUAGCCUGAGCUCAACUUUCUCAAGUGACAAUGAUUAUGGUUGUUUUUCUUUUUUUUUUUCUGGCGAUAUGUUACUGGUGUCCACACCAAUCACAAGCAGGUUAGUUGAAUUUGCAUGGAUUUAAUCUAACCUUUUAAUUUGUUCAUAUCACCCCAAAAAGAAAAAGAAAUUCUAACCUUUUAUAUAUUUGUUGUUUUGAUCAUCUUGGUCAAUGAGUGACAAAUGCCAUUUCAUGAAGGCCAGGGCACCCAAUUAGUGGGAGCUUGCAGAAGAUCCAACAAUGUUCUUGAAGAGGUGUUGUUGAGGGCUACUUAGACACCACUUCUUGAUGAGGACGAUGAUGAUGAAGAAGAGAGGAGAUCCAACCAUGUUCUUGAAGAGGCAGAGAUGAGGGCUACUGAAAUAGUACUUAUUCUUGAUGAGGAUGAGGUUAAGUCCUUCUGGAGUUGAAGAGGUGUCGUUGAGGGCCACUGCAACACCAAUUCUUGACGAAGAUGAUGAGGCAGCUUGUCCAUCUCUCGUUGAGGAAACAGGGUGGUUGAGGUACCGUCGAGGGUCAUUGAGACAAUUGUUCUUCAAAACAAGUAGGAAUAACUAUGU